rnacentral:pre_miRNA from 1 species
GUUCCCUUCAAGCACUUCACAUGAAGCUCUUUGCAUUAUAUUGGCGGAUGUAGCAUUGAGACCAAUGUGAAGUGUUUGGGGGAACUC